GGUUGCUGGAACACCAGAUUGCUGUUUGAAAGCUUGCAGCUCCUGGGACCUUCAGAACUUCUGGGAUAAGAGAGACAGGGGAGAGCAAGGUCACUGGAGACCCCAGAAUUAUCCCAUGAAUUAGUGACCACGACAUGAUUUGAAGAAGGUGGUUUGGAACUGAUCUCUGGGAAAGCUGUGCUGCAGAAGAGUCUCUCACCUUUAUUAUGAUGAUUGGCUGCACCUGCUGUGAUCUCGUGCGGCUCUCCAUUAGGAGGAAGUUACGACACCUGUGAUAUUCACAUGCAGAUCUAAGGGCUUUCAGCUAGUACCUAUGUGGUAAUUAGAAGCUGCAUUUAAGCCAGCAGUGAGUUGGACUGGAUUGCCGGAGAAUUGAACUUUGUUGCAUUCUUGUGACGAGUAUGUGAGGACGCCGAGGGCUGCUCCAGAGGCUGACAUCACGUCUGUGAAGGAGGAUGAGGGUGAGAGGCAAGCGCUGUCAGCACACGUCAGAGGUGAUUAUUUCUAAAAGCUAAAUUGUUUAUAUGUUGUGGCGUUUGACGCAGUUAAAAUUAAAGAAUUGAAGAUAAUUGUUCUGAUUGCUCCUCACGGCUGUGGUGAAGGGAUUGAUGAUCUUCCACUCACUGUGAGCAGCUGUUUGUCUGAAGUAGGUCCGCAGUAAGAUCUGAACGUGUUGCUGAUAAGUGUGCCUCUGUGGAGAAAAUUGUGGAUAAUGAUAGUAUGAAUAACCUCACUUCUGCUCCUCCUUCACAGAGCAUUGUUCUGGAAAGCCACCUGGGGGGUGGGGGGUGUUGACGGAACGAUUGAGUCCAGAAGAUUCGGGCUCGGAUCUGUUGUGGCGCUGAGAGAGUGCGCCACUUGUCCACCUCACCAGACUUUUAUUAUUUAGAUUUUAUGGACAGCACAGGGUGACAGUAAUAAAUCUGUUUUUCUUUCUGGAGCUGCUUCUGGUCAAUUAGUGCUGGGUUCUGUUGGACUCUGGGCCGCUCCUCGGUCCGCGUUCCUCACAUAACACAAACUUUGAAAAGUUAUAGUCACUCAUUUCCAUUAAUUAAACUAACUCAAAAAUGACUUGUUGUCAUAACAACACAGUUCCUUUAAGUGCAUUUGAAGUUUUGGGACAUUUAAGUGUUGGUGAUGUAUUUCCAGUGCAUUACAUUCACUCAUUUUAAUUGAGUUUACGUAAUGGAGACCAGCAGGUGUCAAAUGGACAGUCAGAACAACACAAUGCAGAGUCAAUAAGUAAACUAAGGAAUGCCAGGCCUGGCGCCAAAAAAAAAAUAUUAAGGGGGCGAUGAGUUUAUUACAGGGGGCGGGAUCCCCCCCCCCCCCC